rnacentral:rRNA from 1 species
UGGGGAAUAUUGCACAAUGGGCGCAAGCCUGAUGCAGCCAUGCCGCGUGUAUGAAGAAGGCCUUCGGGUUGUAAAGUACUUUCAGUCGGGAGGAAGGUGGUAAGGUUAAUAACCUUAUCAAUUGACGUUACCGACAGAAGAAGCACCGGCUAACUCCGUGCCAGCAGCCGCGGUAAUACGGAGGGUGCAAGCGUUAAUCGGAAUUACUGGGCGUAAAGCGCACGCAGGCGGUCUGUCAAGUCGGAUGUGAAAUCCCCGGGCUUAACCUGGGAACUACAUUCGAAACUGGCAGGCUAGAGUCUUGUAGGGGGGGGUAGAAUUCCAGGUGUAGCGGUGAAAUGCGUAGAGAUCUGGAGGAAUACCGGUGGCGAAGGCGGCCCCCUGGACAAAGACUGACGCUCAGGUGCGAAAGCGUGGGGAGCAAACAGG